rnacentral:misc_RNA from 1 species
GAUGAAGAACGCAGUGAAAUGCGAUAAGUAAUGUGAAUUGCAGAAUUCAGUGAAUCAUCGAAUCUUUGAACGCACAUUGCGCCCCUUGGUAUUCCGGGGGGCAUGCCUGUUCGAGCGUCAUUUCAACCCCUCAAGCUCGGCUUGGUGUUGGGCUGCGCCAGCGUUGCUGGCGGGCCUUAAAAUCAGUGGCGGUGCCGUUUGGGCUCCAAGCGUAGUAGCAUCUCUCGCUCUGGAGACCCGGCGGUUGCUUGCCAGACAAUCACCAAAAAAACAAAGGUUUGACCUCGGAUCAGGUAGGGAUACCCGCUGAACUUAAGCAUAUCAAUAAGCGGAGGA